GACGAACCGUGCGAACGUUGUUCGGAAUCACUGGGCUUAAAGGGCGCGUAGGCGGGCGGACAAGUUCGGGGUGAAAUCUUUCGGCCCAACCGGAAGACGGCCCCGGAUACUGUCGGUCUCGAGGGGGGUAGGGGCAGCUGGAACUUCCGGUGGAGCGGUGAAAUGCGUUGAUAUCGGAAGGAACGCCGGUGGCGAAAGCGAGCUGCUGGGCCUUUUCUGACGCUGAGGCGCGAAAGCCAGGGGAGCAAACGGG
rnacentral:rRNA from 1 species